CAGGGAGACAACAAAAUGUUUAAUAUUAUUAUUUUGUCACCUUAGGUCGAUCGGUAUCUCACGUUUUUAAUUUAUUAAGAAUUUCAUUUCCUAAGUUUUUCUAGGUCACACCCAUUAUUUUUCCUGGGCCAUUAGCUCAGGUGGUUAGAGCGCACCCCUGAUAAGGGUGAGGUCCCUGGUUCAAGUCCAGGAUGGCCCAUACUCUAUGUUGGGGGUAUAGCUCAGUUGGUAAAGCGCCUGCUUUGCAAGCAGGAUGUCAGCGGUUCGAGUCCGCUUACCUCCACUGAUCACCACCUCUUCCAUAACCGGUAGAAAGGAAAUUUUUUGAGUUGUGAUCAAAUCCUGAAAGAAUCUAGCUUCCUAAUGAAAUCAUUAAGAUGCUGGACUCAUUGAAUUUAUUUCACUGUUUUCAGAGAACUUUGACAACUGCAUAGAUUAUUUUAAAGACAAUAAGCAUCUUUAAUGAUGCAGAUUUAUUAUUUUUGCAAAUGCAUUAAUGACAAUUCUAUUAAGCUGAUGCUUCAAUAUUUGAAGUUAUU
rnacentral:tRNA from 1 species